AUUUUAUAUGAGACCAAUUUUAGAUGUUCCAUUACUGAUCCAUCUACACGGUGUGAGAAGACUGCUUUACUUGCAGUGAGAUGAUGGGAAAUCCAUUAAAGACUACAUUUGAAAAGACUAGAAGAUUUAUAAACAAAAGCUGCAUCUGCUUUUUAGCAGUUUGUCAUGUCUUUUAAACAGCUCUAGGCUUUCUUCUUCACAACAUCUGUAAAGUCCUUCUUGAAAGCCUGUUGGAGAAGCAAGGGAAUCAAAGUAGGGCAGAAGAGGACUCCACCCCCUGAAGGAUUCUACAGCCACGCCUUGUAGUAAGAAGCAUGGUUCUUGGAGCCAAAAUGCUAACAUUUACAAGCUGGGCUUUGAAGCUGAGGCUUUAUUAAGUUUCUGAAGAGACAAUGUCCCCUUUUGCAACUAAAAGAAAUAUGAAUGAACUUUUUAUAUGUUUCCUGGUGAUUAAGCCAAUAUCCUGGGCUGCACAACAGUCAAGUGUAUCCACCAUCUUAGUCAAAACUCAUUCAGGAAGCCAACAACGUUUUACCCCAUAGUCCAAAUCAGUUGGGCAGGAGUAUCUAUGUGCCCUUUAUCAGGAAAGCAUUGGGUGAGGACCUCUUAUGAAAUAGUGUAGUGACAAUGACCCCGAUUGUCUGGCUCAUAUUUGGUUCCUGGCAGAGUCAAGUUGGUGGAGGGAACAAAGAUAACUUUAAGUCACUCUUUCAUUUACCAGAUUCUUGGCCCUGCCUGAGACUUGCCUAGUUCACAGUGUAAAUUAAAGAAGCCAGGGAGCAGAGUGUGGGUUCAAGUAUUGAUAACCAAGAUGUCAGGUGUAGAGCUGCUGAACAAUUUUCAACCAAAAUUUACUUUUGAGUCAUAAAAAUGCUGUUGGCAAAUUCCAAACAACUUUUGCAAAACAUUUUGAUUUAAAGUAAACUUUCAGAUUUUUUGUAGUGAGAAAAUUCAAACCUUAAAAACAAAACAAAACUGUUUCCAUGAAAACAUUUUCAGCAAAGUUCUUUUGUUCCAGUUUUGUUUCCAUGAAAAGUCAAUUUUUCAGCCAGCUCUAGACAGUUCAUCAGGUGUAUAUUCUGUCUGACCCAAAAAUUCCUGGACAAGGUAUCUAAAUGGAUUAGGUAACCAGAGCCUAAUAGUGCUAUUUCAUUGAAGCAUAGCCUUGAAGUAAUUUUUGUUUUUAACACACAUUUUUAGAAGCCUAAAUCUGAGUUUCCCUUCUGGGAUUUUUGGAUAUCAGUCGCUCUAAGGAUCCACUGAGGAAAGCAGGACAGGAACAAAGGACAAAGAAUUAUAUCAGAGCUCUAAAGGUCAUGGGAAUGAAAUAGGAGAGGAUGCAAUGGAGCUUUAGAAGGGGAUCCAAAAUCCUGAUUAGAUUCAGUCCAAAGAUAACCCCCAAGUUAAGAUGGUCACUUCUUAGUAUCCACUACUGAUGGCUACAGAAGAAGUCAAAAUGUUUUACUGCUUGAUGGUCUCAGGCUGAAUUAAUCAGCAGGUUUUUGGUACACUAUUCUAACUUUUGCUCCCUGACUGAAUAUAGAACACAUUCAUAAGGCCAGCUUGAGUGUCCAACAGUGAUUUAAGAACCAAGAACAAUUCUCAAGUAAGCCAGGGAUUAUAUAGCAGCCCAUUACCUUAUUUAAAAAGCAAAAUAAGGAAGCAAUAAAAACCUAGUAUACAGAUAAAUUGUAAAUUACUUUUUACUAGUGGUUACACUCAGAGCUGUUCCGUGGAGCUCAGAUCUGAUCUUCACAAUGGUUAUUGUAAUCCACUGAGCUUUGCUCCAUUGCUCAGGCCUCACCUGACACAGAUGGAUUCCCUCCCUUUAUCAGUCUGCCUGGAGCCGAGCAGAUUGUGAAAACCACAGCUUGAAAUCAUACAGAUAAAGUAUUAGCUGAAGAGGCUGGAACGAUAAGAAAAGUCUUUGCCAGCAGAGGCAAUCCAAGAUUUAUUUGAAACUAUAAACGUUUCACAAAGAUACAACAUACAUAAAUGGAGAGUCCUUAAAUGUCUGAAUCAAUGUCAGUUUUCUGCAGAGAACAAAGACUAAGACUCCCAAAGUGCUUUAUACACUUAGCUACACAGACAAGUGAUAUUUAAAAUUGUCAAAUUGGUGCAUUUAGAUUCUCAACUUUAGUGUUUUGUUGACCUUUUAGGGACUGAAUUCUAACACUGGUAAUGAGACCCAAAUAUUAUGUAUUUGAAGCUUUUAAGCUGUGUUCAACUGCCCUAGAAUAAUUGAGCCGCAGAACUCACUAGUUAUUACAUUCAUUUCAAAAGAUCAAAACAAGAAAUAAAUAAUAAUAAAUAAAUAUCCACUCUCUACAAUGUCUACUCUACUCUUGAUGAGUGACCAUAACUUUUGUCAAAUAUUACAGAGC